rnacentral:tRNA from 1 species
GUUUGUAGCUUGGUCUUCAAACCCAACGGGGGGCGUAAGAGCUCC